rnacentral:rRNA from 1 species
UGGGGAAUUUUGGACAAUGGGCGAAAGCCUGAUCCAGCAAUGCCGCGUGUGUGAAGAAGGCCUUCGGGUUGUAAAGCACUUUUGUCCGGAAAGAAAUGGCUCUGGUUAAUACCUGGGGUCGAUGACGGUACCGGAAGAAUAAGGACCGGCUAACUACGUGCCAGCAGCCGCGGUAAUACGUAGGGUCCAAGCGUUAAUCGGAAUUACUGGGCGUAAAGCGUGCGCAGGCGGUUGUGCAAGACCGAUGUGAAAUCCCCGAGCUUAACUUGGGAAUUGCAUUGGUGACUGCACGGCUAGAGUGUGUCAGAGGGGGGUAGAAUUCCACGUGUAGCAGUGAAAUGCGUAGAGAUGUGGAGGAAUACCGAUGGCGAAGGCAGCCCCCUGGGAUAACACUGACGCUCAUGCACGAAAGCGUGGGGAGCAAACAGGAUUAGAUACCCUGGUAGUCCACGCCCUAAACGAUGUCAACUAGUUGUUGGGGACUCAUUUCCUUAGUAACGUAGCUAACGCGUGAAGUUG